rnacentral:rRNA from 1 species
UCUUCGGAGUUGACGAUAAUGGAAUGAGCGGCGGACGGGUGAGUAACACGUAGGCAACCUGCCUGUAAGACUGGGAUAACUCGUGGAAACGCGAGCUAAUACCGGAUAACACUUUUCAUCUCCUGAUGAGAAGUUGAAAGGCGGCUUUUGCUGUCACUUACAGAUGGGCCUGCGGCGCAUUAGCUAGUUGGUAAGGUAACGGCUUACCAAGGCGACGAUGCGUAGCCGACCUGAGAGGGUGAUCGGCCACACUGGGACUGAGACACGGCCCAGACUCCUACGGGAGGCAGCAGUAGGGAAUCUUCCGCAAUGGACGAAAGUCUGACGGAGCAACGCCGCGUGAGUGAUGAAGGUUUUCGGAUCGUAAAACUCUGUUGUUAGGGAAGAACAAGUACUAUAGUAACUGAUAGUACCUUGACGGUACCUAACCAGAAAGCCACGGCUAACUACGUGCCAGCAGCCGCGGUAAUACGUAGGUGGCAAGCGUUGUCCGGAAUUAUUGGGCGUAAAGCGCUCGCAGGCGGUUCUUUAAGUCUGAUGUGAAAUCUUACGGCUCAACCGUAAACGUGCAUUGGAAACUGGGGAACUUGAGUGCAGAA